rnacentral:lncRNA from 1 species
GUGAGUUUCGAGAGCACAGUGUGCAGCCCGCGCAGGUGGUAGUGGAACUGCUGUUCCAGGUCUUCUUCGCCGGCGUCCGCACCCUCCAAGUGGCCCAGGUCCACCAGGAUGUCCUUGGACUUCCAGGCACUGCCCUCCUCGCUCCCAGCCGGUGGAGGCGGCUGGUGCAGGACCCCCCACUCGAUGUCGUUGCGGAUGGACUUGAGAAGCACGUAGUGGCUGUACAUGUCCCGAGAGGGCGCGAAAAAGCUGCCAUUGGCGCUUCCCGAGUCGGGGACUGGGGGCGUGCGCUCCUCCAGGCAGCCGCCACUGCCGCCUACCUCCACGCCAACAUCGUUGUCUAACCCGGGGUCAGCCAGGGGCACGUCGCGCAGCAAGCUGGGCACCAUCACCGUCUGGUCCAUGUUGUUCACGGCGCCAAUGAAGCGAUUCAUGGCGUUAAAGAGCGAGUGCGGUGCUCAAUUUAUAGUCCAGGAAAGGUGUCGCCGGCGCUCAGGGCCACCCCUGGUGUCUCCUCCUCCCGCCUCCCCCGGCAGCACCGAGAUAAAAGCAUUUUAAAAGUGACCAGAAAUUCCUGAACAAAGUAGUCAGCAAGAGUAAACUGGUGCAAGAAAGUCAGACUGGAUAAAGAAGAGAUCUGGCCUAGAACUGGAAGAAAGAUGAUAUUUUAAGGCAAGAAGCCAGCCCAACCCAAGAUAGCAGAGAUCCUGGAUUAUUUUGAGACAGACUUAGAAGGAUCCAUUUCAUGAAAAAUGUCCUAGAAAUAUGACAGUCAGACUCUCGUGUUAAAGGCCAUGUAGUCCAACCAUCCACUUGUGCUGAAAUCGCUCACAACAUCCCCACCAAGUGGUCGCCCUUGCCUACAUUCUUCUAUUUUCCGUUCUCCAGUGUUCUUCUAUCUUUUGGAGCUCUACAGAAGGCCAUGAAGCACACCAUCAGAUGUUUGAAGGUGGCACGUGGGGUGAUGGUGCUAAUAUCGCUAUACAAGCCAUGCAGGGCCCUUUCUUCAUUUUGCCCGUCUUUAAAGGGUGGAAGUUCUGGAGAGAGUCACUACAUAGAUAAUGUGAGGAGGAUCUCU